GACGAACGCUGGCGGCGUGCCUAACACAUGCAAGUCGAACGGACAUUAAUUUUUCGGAAUUGAUGUUAGUGGCGGACGGGUGAGUAACGCGUGAGCAACCUGCCUUACAGAGGGGGAUAACGUUUGGAAACAGACGCUAAUACCGCAUAACAUAUAUUUACCGCAUGGUAGAUAUAUCAAAGGAGCAAUCCGCUGAAAGAUGGGCUCGCGUCCGAUUAGAUAGUUGGUGGGUAAAGGCCUACCAAGUCAGCGAUCGGUAGCCGGACUGAGAGGUUGAACGGCCACAUUGGGACUGAGACACGGCCCAGACUCCUACGGGAGGCUG
rnacentral:rRNA from 1 species